GAUGAACGCUGGCGGCGUGCCUAAUACAUGCAAGUCGAGCGAACGGACGAGAAGCUUGCUUCUCUGAUGUUAGCGGCGGACGGGCGAGUAACACGUGGAUAACCUACCUAUAAGACUGGGAUAACUUCGGGAAACCGGAGCUAAUACCGGAUAAUAUUUUGAACCGCAUGGUUCAAAAGUGAAAGACGGUCUUGCUGUCACUUAUAGAUGGAUCCGCGCUGCAUUAGCUAGUUGGUAAGGUAACGGCUUACCAAGGCAACGAUGCAUAGCCGACCUGAGAGGGUGAUCGGCCACACUGGAACUGAGACACGGUCCAGACUCCUACGGGAGGCAGCAGUAGGGAAUAUUCCGCAAUGGGCGAAAGCCUGACGGAGCAACGCCGCGUGAGUGAUGAAGGUCUUCGGAUCGUAAAACUCUGUUAUUAGGGAAGAACAUAUGUGUAAGUAACUGUGCACAUCUUGACGGUACCUAAUCAGAAAGCCACGGCUAACUACGUG
rnacentral:rRNA from 1 species